CUUCACCGCGACCAAGAUCUCUGGCCAGAGCCUGAGGAGUUCCGUCCUGAAAGGUUCAGUAAGAAGAACAAGGACAGCAGAAAUCCUUAUAUAUACCUGCCUUUUGGAACUGGACCGCGAAACUGCAUUGGGAUGAGGUUUGCGAUCAUGAACAUGAAACUCGCCCUUGUCAGAGUCCUGCAGAACUUCUCCUUCAAACCUUGUA